GGAGCAAACAGCUUGCCAAAAGCCUGAAUAACAGGACCUCCCAAGUAGAUCUAAGCUCCUGGCAGAGCACCUUACAUCUCAAAGAGCCAUUCUUGGUGGUAGAGUGCUGCCGGAGGAGGACCCCCUGGGAAACAGGAAUAGGCAGUGUCUUCCAUGGUGACUCCCAUGAUGGACAGCAAAUAUCUGUGGCUGACUCCACACCUUGUUUUCAGUCAGAAGAACAAGAUUCUGGUUUCAGAGACAAGCUUAAACUUGAGUCAGAGCUAAAUUUGUAUCCUCUGUCCACAUUAUCAUUCAUGCAUCCUGCUCUUUAGGAAAACCAUCGGACCCUAAAAUAAAAUGUUCAGAAACAUGCAAAUGAAAAUAGCUUAAGCGCUCAGACUUUGGCAGCGUUGCCUGAGUUUGCUGUGGCCUCAGAAGGGACAAUCAUAAUAUUUUUCUGGCUGUCUUGUCUUGAUUUAUAAUUUGAAUCUCCAUAAAUGAUAAUAGAGAGGGCAAUUAUCAAAGAAAUGGAAAGGGCAAUUAUCAUUAAAUUGAAAACACAUCACACAUCCAAAAGGAUGAAUGACUGAGCUAAAAACAGAUUUUGUGGAUCUUGCAACUGUUCCAAAAGAACUUAAUCUAAGCAACUUCAUCUCCCCAUCUCCUCCAAUUAAGCAGAUGACUCUGGGUAUAUUUUCCUUUUUUUCUCUUUCCCUUGGAUGAUAAUAUAAGGCCUGUUAACCUAAUCUGCCUAAAUACUGACACUGCUUAGGAUAUCUAAGUUUAUGAGACUAAUCCAGUUGCUGUUUGCCUAGUGUGAAAGAAAGCUUUUAUUUUCCCCUUUUUUUUUUCCGGUACCGGGAUUCAAACUCAUGACCUUGCAUUUGCCAGGCAGGCACUGUGCCACUAAGCUAAAUCCCUAGCCCCCUCUUUUUUUUUUUUUCCGUAAAAACAGUAGAGAAAAUUAAUUGUUUGUGCAUUUGUGAUUCCAGGAGACUAGUCACUCCCUCGUCUGGUCUUAACCCUGGUGAUGAGUCUUUCUAAGUGAGGGAACAGCAGUAUUUUUGUUCAGCAACUGAAAUAUUAGACUGGAUUUUGAAACUCUCUUAAAAGCCUUUUGUUUCAGUCAGAUAGAUUGAAAAAAAUCAUACUGCAAACUAUAGGUGUUUGUUACCAUUACUAUGGCUACGAAAGGAACAGGUGAAUGUUUAUGAACACUUUUCCCUGAAAAUUCUUACCAUCUGGAUUUAUAAUUUUAAGAAGUAAAAUUGAAACAAAACAAAACAAAGAAGUAAAAUUGUAGUCAUUCUCUGAAGGGGUAAGGAAAGGAAGGAAGAAAUAGAAAACACCCCAAAUUACUUUUGCUAGCACUUCUGUACAAGAAUUAUAGAUACAACAUGAAUGCCAAUGUCUGCUGAAGAAAUGAACCCUAAUGAUUUGAUCCAAUCAGAUGUGAGUGCUGAAUAUAUGUUCUACCAUCUACUGCCAGGAAUAUGUAACAUGUGUGAUGAAUAUGUUCUGUUUGAAGAUACAUGAUUUUUUGUUCCACAAUUUUAUUUUAUUUAUUUAUUUUUUUUCCCAGUACCGGGAAUCGAACUCACGACCUUGAGCGUGCCAGGCAGGAGCUGUGCGGCUGAGCUAAAUCCCCCCCGCCCCCAAGCGGCAAUCUUUUUUCCAACUAGUUUUCCAGAGUAAUGUUUCUACGGAGAAAUGAUUUUGUCAUCUAGUGGUUUUACUAGUGCUGGACAUUGAACCCUGGACCUAAUGCAUGCUAAGCAUGUACUUCCCCACUGAGGACACCCCCAGCCUCACUGUAAGAAGGAUUAGAAGCUUUUUCAAAGCAAGGGAAUAGACAAAACUUUUACCCAAUAUACCCAUCAUGAAUUUUUACAAAUAUAUGUUUAUUUAAAAAUCAACAAUCUUGAUUUAAAUAUAUUAUUAAUUUACAUUUCCUAUCAUUUGGGGGAAUAAAUUAUCAUUAUCUUGGUCAAUAAAUUGGUCAAAAAUUGAAUUUAAAAUCCUAACAGUUCUAAAAAAAAAAAAAACAAAGUUUUCCCUUUAAAA
ensembl:lincRNA